GGGAGGGGUUGUGGGGGGAGGAGGGGGGAGGAGGGGGGGAUGGGGGGAUGGGGGGGGGGGGUGAGUCAAGGGGAGUGAAAGGAAGGAAGGAGGGAGGGUGCACUGCCUUUGCUUUACAGCGAGCGAGGGAGAUUGUGGGUGAAAGGAGAGAGAGAGAGAGAGAGAGAGAGAGAGGGAAACACACACACACACACACACACACACACACAAAGUGUCUGGCUUCUGUUGCAGCAUCAGAGGCAGAGCAAGGCAGCAGCAGGAGCAGGAGAAGUGUGAGAGCGAGAGAGAGAGAGAGAGAGAGAGAGAGCAGAUCGCAGCAGAUCCUAGCAGCCUACCAGCGGGACAGUGAGGAGAGGCUCCGAUAGCAAGCCGGCUCUGAGACUGACACUAGCUCACGUUAGCGGACAGCAGCAUGGACGGCUCGCGCUCUAUACAGCAUGAGAUCACAUCUCUCAAAGGUAAGGCUUCCCGUCUGGGUGUUUCAGUUGUGUGCGGGGAGGGAGGCGGUGUCAUGCACACCUGGUGAACAGGCAAGUCUCGAUGGUAACCUGCACUCAACAACAACAACAAUACCUCUUGGUGUUGACAUGCCGCUACUGCAGCGAGCGGGAGGACUUUGUGUGUCCUCUGUGAUAGCUCACUUCCAGUGGGGUCAUAAGGGGAUUUUAAUGAUGAUCAAUCCAUCAACAGCUGAUGUGUGUGUUGUGGUUCAAAGCUUGUCCUACCCAUCCUCCUGGCUAGUGUGUGCGAGUGUGUGUGUGUGUGUAAAUCUUUAUCGUCCCAGAGGUUCCCUUUGUUUUACGACAGCAGUCAUAGUGUUACAAUACCACACAAAACAAACAACAUUAAAUAGACCACAUAUCCAGGUUAUCUGCGGUACAACACAUGUGAUCAAGGAGGGUCCGACACACACACUGGGAGACUUCAUGAAACCAGUGAUUAUAAGGAUAGUAAACAACUGUGGAAGCAAGUCAUGUAAAUGUGUGUGUGUGUAAGUGUGUAACUGAAGAUAUUUCUUCGAGUCAACGUCAUCUCACAUACUCACUCUUUUUCUCACGCUGAGAGAGCUUCAUAAAAACACGAGAUUGCGACUCUCUUACAGACGUACUGAACAGGGGAACUCUCAGGGUAUGUUUGAUUUUAGUUCUGGCCGUCCUGUCCAAAAAACAUCCACUAUUCCACUCUUUCCUCUUUCUGCUGAGGUUUGACUUUGGGCUGUAAUUGUGAGUUGGAUCUCCCUGCUGUACCACGGCCAGAACGAGCCUGCAUGGGAGGUCUGCCAGGAGAGAGGGCCCUCACACACACACACAAACUCACGCACAUACACACACAAACACACGCACACACAUACACACACACUCAAACACACCCACACAGACCCGCACACGGGCAGGCACGUACACACACGUACACACACACUCAGGCACGUACACACACACACACACACACACACACACACACACACACACACACACACACACACACACACACACACACACACACACACACACACACACACACACACACACACACACACACGAUAGCACGCAACAC